AAUAGACGAGUCCUUCUUUGCUCGCUUCUCAACCACUAAAUGUGAAUGUGACCACCAUCCGUACUUGGAAGCUCCAUAUUUUUUGUUGGAUGGGUUGUAUUUGUAUCCAAGAGUCAGCAUAUUAGGAUUGUAGAAAAUGGAAAGAAAGGCUAGAAAGCUGGUUUUCGGAGGAUUGAAUUUCGCGGGUAGAGCUUUGGGAAAAAUUCUUCUUCUUCUCAAAUUCUUGGUUGUUCGGAGCCAAUCUUCAGGUUUUUGAUGAAACUUUUGAAGUUGGGAGGUUGCUGUUUGAACUUGCGCGGGCGUGCUUUCAUCAGGGACCUCCAUUAUCAAAUCACGCCAGGCACGAGGUUAGUCACGCCGGGCACAAUUUCAAAUGAGAAUCUCUGAUGGUGGCUCAUUGUGGUGUUUUACUGAUAUAGAGCUAGGCGCGUGAAAGGUGCGUCCGGCGCAGGGUGAUUGCGCCGGGCGUGGAGACUCCUAUGAGUCUUUGUCUCAAUGAUGUCGGGCGUGGGGAUUCUACGCCGGGCGUGGAGGAGUUUUAGAACUCUCUGCUUGAGCUUAGGCCGGGCGCAAGAUGGUUGCCCCGGGCGUGAGUACGUUGAAUUAUUUGGUUAAGUUGUGGAGUUGCCUAAUGAAGAUGAGUUGAGUAGUUGUUGAUCUAAGUUGUUUAUAUGUUGUUAUUGAUGAAAUUUGUAUAAGUUGAA